UACGUAGGGUGCAAGCGUUAUCCGGAAUCAUUGGGCGUAAAGCGUUCGCAGGCGGUUUUGUAAGUCUGUGGUUAAAUCUGGCCGCUCAACGGUCAACAUGCCACAAAUACUGCGAAACUAGAGGAUGGCAGAGGCAACUGGAAUUCUGCGUGUAGGGGUAAAAUCCGUUGAUACGCAGAGGAACACCAAAAGCGAAGGCAGGUUGCUGGGCCAUUUCUGACGCUGUUGAACGAAAGCGUGGGUAG
rnacentral:rRNA from 1 species